ACUUUUCCAAGAUGGCGGAUGCGUCAAUGUCUCUGGAGUGGUCAAAUGUGGCAUCUGAGCAUUCAGAGAAUACUAAUUGUAGCACUGCCACAAAUGCACUUUAUUGUCAAGCUGUGAAACAUGUCGCACACCAUAAUCAGCAGGCAGUAAUCGGAGGGACCCCUGCUGGUCUGGAGGACCAAAAUAUCCCCACACAUCCUCGCACAACAUACCCAGAGAUGGUGGCAAGACAAUCUCCUGAUGGGAGUUCCAUCUCGGCCGAGCCUCAAGUAGCAGAUGAACAAGCAAGCUUUUGGAAAAGAAAUAACAUUUAUGAAGGGAAAGCCGUUCCUGAAUCAGAUGAAAAUUUACCCACUGAACAACUAAAGGAGAACUCCGCUCCUCCAGCUCGCUCGGAGGUCAUCUACGAUGAUGUGCCUUGUGAAAACAUCAUGCCACCAGAUGCAGAGGAUGAUGUGAUCUAUGAGGAGGUGCAGAGGUCUGGCGAGCCCGGGCUGAUAGACAACGGCUGGGGCUCCAGUGAGUUUGAGAGUUACGAUGAGCAGUCAGACAGCGAGACCAAGCAGCCCACUCGCAAUAAGGUACAAAUCCACUGCCCAUUUAUUAUCAACACUUGAGAUAAAUGAGAUGAUGUGCAUUGUUG
rnacentral:lncRNA from 1 species